ensembl:misc_RNA Metazoa_SRP Metazoan signal recognition particle RNA
GCUGGGCAUGGUGGUGCGCGCCUGUAAUCCCAGCUACUUUGGGAGGCUGAGGUGGAAGAAUUGCUUGAACCUGGGAAGGGGAGGUUGCAGUUAGCAGAGAUCAUGCUACUGCACUCUAGCCUAGGUGACAGAGCAAUAUUCUGUCUCAA